AGGUAGCGAAAUUCCUUGUCGGGUAAGUUCCGACCUGCACGAAUGGCGUAACGAUCUCCCUACUGUCUCGGCCAGAGACUCGGUGAAAUUGAAGUCGCGGUGAAAAUGCCGUGUACCCGCAGAAAGACGGAAAGACCCUGUGCACCUUUACUAUAGCUUGACAUUGGGUUUUGGGCUUGCAUGUGUAGGAUAGGUGGGAGGCUGUGAACCCUGUACGCCAGUAUGGGGGGAGCCAACCUUGAAAUACCACCCUUGCAAGUCUAAGGCUCUAAUCCAUACCCGUUACCCGGGGUGGAGACAGUGUCUGGUGGGUAGUUUGACUGGGGCGGUCGCCUCCCAAACAAUAACGGAGGCACGCAAAGGUUCCCUCAGCCUGAUCGGAAACCAGGCGUCGAGUGCAAACGCAUAAGGGAGCUUGACUGCAAGACAGACAUGUCGAGCAGGGACGAAAGUCGGCGUUAGUGAUCCGGUGGUUCCGCAUGGAAGGGCCAUCGCUCAUUGGAUAAAAGGUACGCCGGGGAUAACAGGCUGAUCGCGCCCAAGAGUUCAUAUCGACGGCGCGGUUUGGCACCUCGAUGUCGGCUCAUCACAUCCUGGGGCUGAAGCAGGUCCCAAGGGUACGGCUGUUCGCCGUUUAAAGUGGUACGCGAGCUGGGUUUAAAACGUCGUGAGACAGUUUGGUCCCUAUCUUCUGUGGGCGUAGGAGACUUGAGAGGGCCUGUCCCUAGUACGAGAGGACCGGGAUGGACGCACCCCUGGUGGUCCUGUUGUCACGCCAGUGGCACAGCAGGGUAGCUAUGUGCGGAAGGGAUAACCGCUGAAAGCAUCUAAGCGGGAAGCCUGCCUCAAGAUAAGGUCUCCCUCUCUUCGGAGCUGAAGGGCCCGGGUAGACAACCCGGUUGAUAGGCUGGAGGUAUACAUGCGGUGACGCAUUCAGCUGACCAGUACUAAUAGCCCGUGCGCCUUGUUUUC
rnacentral:rRNA from 1 species